UACGUAGGGGCUAGCGUUAUCCGGAAUUACUGGGCGUAAAGGGUGCGUAGGCGGUCUUUCAAGCCAGAAGUGAAAGGCUACGGCUCAACCGUAGUAAGCUUUUGGAACUGUAAGACUUGAGUGCAGGAGAGGAGAGUGGAAUUCCUAGUGUAGCGGUGAAAUGCGUAGAUAUUAGGAGGAACACCAGUUGCGAAGGCGGCUCUCUGGACUGUAACUGACACUGAGGCACGAAAGCGUGGGGAGCAAACAGGAUUAGAUACCCGCGUAGUCCCU
rnacentral:rRNA from 1 species